UAUUUUUUACUUAUCCGAUUUUGCUUUUAACAACACCAUGAAAGGAGUGCUAUUAUUAGGUAGAAAAUACAACAAUAUCUUUUCUAAGGUUAUUAUUUUUUGUAUUAUGUUAGCUGUUUACUAAACGGAUAAGGGGCGUAUUUGUUAGUUAUAAUGACCGUUCCUUUCCUUCAUACGAAAUCAGUUGUUAGCGGAACUCUAAUUGUCACAAUAGCAUGAUUGCAAUAGCACGCAAUAAUGGAUUAUAGCAAUAAUAAUGAUAAAUACCACAAUCAGUGUAGAACUUGGCCUGUGCACUCGCCAGCAGCACUAUAACUGUCAAUAUAAACAACAUAUUUA
rnacentral:lncRNA from 1 species